CCUCCUUUCUAAGGAUGAUUAAGGAUUAUUUCUUAAUCUAAAUAAUAUAACAGGUUAAUGUUGACCGUCCUCAUUUCUCUUCUUGAAGUAGUGUUUCUCUUUUCUGCAUAGGGGCCGGUAGCUCAGUUGGUUAGAGCACACCCUUGAUAAGGGUGGGGUCGAAAGUUCGAGUCUUUCUCGGCCCACCAAUAUAAUGGGGGAUUAGCUCAGCUGGGAGAGCGCCUGAUUUGCAUUCAGGAGGUCAGCGGUUCGAUCCCGCUAUCCUCCACCAAGAAACACUUAGUUAUUUAAUUUGUAAAUAAAUUUUAAUAUUAUCAAUAUCUAUAUCCGAACAUUAAUUAAUUAAUGUUCAAAUAAAAAAUUUGAUUCAACACAGAAUUUUUUUCUGUGCAUAAAUCAAGCGUUUAAGGGCGUGUGGCGGAUGCCUGGGCACUGAAAGCCGAUGAAGGACGUGGUAUACUGCGAUAAGUUACGGGG
rnacentral:misc_RNA from 1 species